GACGAACGCUGGCGGCGUGCUUAACACAUGCAAGUCGAGCGGUAAGGCCCUUUCGGGGGUACACGAGCGGCGAACGGGUGAGUAACACGUGGGUGACCUGCCUCUAGCUCUGGGAUAAGCCUGGGAAGCUGGGUCUAAUACCGGAUAUGACCUCGCGGUGCAUGUUGCGGGGUGGAAAGCCUUGUGCGGCUAGGGAUGGGCCCGCGGCCUAUCAGCUUGUUGGUGGGGUGAUGGCCUACCAAGGCGACGACGGGUAGCCGGCCUGAGAGGGCGACCGGCCACACUGGGACUGAGACACGGCCCAGACUCCUACGGGAGGGCAGCAGUGGGGAAUCUUGCGCAAUGGGCGAAAGCCUGACGCAGCGACGCCGCGUGAGGGAUGACGGCCUCGG
rnacentral:rRNA from 1 species